UAAGGAAUAUUGGUCAAUGGGCGCAAGCCUGAACCAGCCAUGCCGCGUGCAGGAAGACGGCCCUAUAGGUUGUAAACUGCUUUUAUACCGGAAUAAACCCCCGCUCGUGAGCGGGGCUGAAUGUACGGUAAGAAUAAGGAUCGGCUAACUCCGUGCCAGCAGCCGCGGUAAUACGGAGGAUCCAAGCGUUAUCCGGAUUUAUUGGGUUUAAAGGGUGCGUAGGCGGCCUUGUAAGUCAGGGGUGAAAGACGGCAGCUUAACUGUCGCAGUGCCUUUGAUACUGCAGGGCUUGAAUGAACUAGAGGCAGGCGGAAUGUGACAAGUAGCGGUGAAAUGCAUAGAUAUGUCACAGAACACCGAUUGCGAAGGCAGCUUGCUAUGGUUUUAUUGACGCUGAGGCACGAAAGCGUGGGGAUCAAACAGG
rnacentral:rRNA from 1 species